UAUGGAUCAAAGCAUUCUAGGCCAGUUACUCUGGCCCAGAACUAAAAAGGAAUAUAUCUCAUGUUUGUCACUGAGUAUAAUGGUGAUAUUUUCUCAAAUAUAGACUCUUUGACCAAAGGCUUUGUUGUGAUGUUGGGAAAAAAAUCCCAUUGAGUUAAAUAUGUUAAUUCACAGAAUAUUUUAUUUAACUUGGAUUCUUAAGGAGUCUUCAAGGAACAUCUGCGGAAAGUGCUGUUCCCAUUUUACAGAUUCAGGAAUCUCGGGUAUAUUGAAGCAAUAGAUCCACAUUCGUCCAACUAAGAGUAAAUAAUCCCAGCUCUGCUGUGUCAGACCCAGUGCUCUUACAAAAAACAUCACGCUGCUUCUGAUGACCAAAUGGAAGAGGAGAAGUCAAGAUGCAUGGCCACCCCUGGGGGGAAAUCAACUGCCUGGGGUUCCCCCUCAUGCUCAUGCCCCCAACUAAAAGCCAA